GAUCAUGGCUCAGGACGAACGCUGGCGGCGUGCCUAACACAUGCAAGUCGAACGGAGUCGGCCCCGCAAGGGACUGACUUAGUGGCGAACGGGUGAGUAACGCGUGAGCAACCUGCCUUUCAGUGGGGGACAACAGUUGGAAACGACUGCUAAUACCGCAUAAAGCAUUUUGACCGCAUGAUCGAGGUGCCAAAGAUUUAUUGCUGAAAGAUGGGCUCGCGUCUGAUUAGAUAGUUGG
rnacentral:rRNA from 1 species